rnacentral:lncRNA from 1 species
AAAAAGAAGUUGUAGAUAUGGAUAAAGGAGAUGGUUGUACAACACAUUAUAUUGGACCACUCAACUGUACGUUUAAACAUGGUUAAAAUGGCAUGUAUCAAACCAAGAAAGCGGCUAGGAGGGCAACACAUCUACCUGUAUACAGGGAGCUAUGAAAUACGUGAGCUGCGCAAGUGAUGCACAAGGAAACGGAAGCAGUAUGACCUUUACACAGUGACCUGGCUCAAAUAAUUUCAGGCUGUCAUUAACCAGGCGAGCUCCACUUUCUCUCUGAGGUUGGGUGUUAAUCUGAUGUGGUGCUCUUGGAGAAGCUUGCUUGAGUUCGGCGCUUUCUCAGCACGUGGUGUGUGCUGCCCCUUCAAGCUGCAGGAGUCCCAGAAAGCUGGAAGAGGGGCUCCAGAAACUUGGGAAACCUGGGCCUGUAGCUGGCAUGUGGAAAAGAGGCCUGGAAAAGCACCAUUCCUGUCCAUGAAGCCCCCAGAUGGAACCAGAAACAUGGCCAGCUGGUCCCCUAGAAGUUUGGUAUAUGGGAUAAGCCAAGGCUUGCCUUCAGCAACAGGUUUUCCACCAC